UCCUCCACCACCCCUGACACACAUCCACGCAUGCUGCUCCAAACAAACCACUGGCUUUAACACUCUGGGUACCUUGGUGGAGGCUGCAGGGAUUUAAGGCUUGAAAUAAUCUAAUGGUGCACAAAAGGCGUUUUUACGUGCGUGCGUGUUGCUUCACUUUCCGUACGAGGGAGAAGGAAGCAUAGAGAGAGAGAGAGAGAGAGGAAGGAAGAAAAGGCGGAGUGAGCAAAUGUGAGUGAAAGUGUUGUCAGCCAUUUUUUCAUCGUUUUUUUUUUUGUUUUUUCCGCUGUCUUAUCGACACGCUGCUGCUCCCCGACUGAAGAUGUGACAUUGGAAAAGAAGCAGGCUGUUUUUCGCUUGGAUAAAAAGGAUCUGUUGUUUUUUCUCCGCUCUCUUCACCUUCCCCUGUGUGGUAUUCAUGAUCCAGCUGGAAUAAACGCAGGAGGUGUCGUUGCUUUGGAGAGUCUUGUCAGGCCAAGAACAGCGGAUACUCCCAAAACUAUCAAGCGAACACGGUGCAGCUGAGGGAGGAAAGAGGCAGGGAGGGGGUUGUUGAAGAUGAGGGUAACGCAGGACCGGGAUGUUAGAUGUUAGCCCUGCAAAAAUUUUUUCAUUAUGAAACCAUUAGCAGCAUCAGACAGCAAUGGAGUCCCGAGCCAGCAAGAUAAAACCCCGAAUAUGAGCAUGUUUCUGCCACCAAACAAAUAAAAGAAGAAUACAUCAGUUCAGUUCUGGAGAGCCAACAAACGAUUCAUCUCUCUUUAUUGUCCAGCCAGUUGUAACAAGGUGGAAUUCUGCUGGAGGCAUUCACAUCAACGUCCACCAGACACGGUGGUGGGAAGAGGCAGCCCGAGGGGGAUUAGUGACUGACAGGGUCCUCCGGUCGACCAUUUUGGUUUGUGCAACCAGCCACAUAAUUAAACGUGAUGGAAAUCUUUGACAUACUGUAAUCACAUCACACCUCAGUGCUGCGAGAGCUCCACUGACUGGUUUCCAGUCUCUUGUCACUGACACAGAAAGGCACUUUGUGAAUUGAUACGUCUAAUUUUUCUACAUUUUCCCCUCACAACAGCUCAGAAAUAAAUUGCUUUCUGAAACUG